GAGUUUGAUCAUGGCUCAGAACGUACGCUGGCGGCACGCCUAACACAUGCAAGUCGAACGAAGUAGCAAUACUUAGUGGCAGACGGGUGAGUAACAUGUGGGUAUCUGCCCUUUGGCCUGGAAUAACACGAGGAAACUUGUGCUAAUACCGGAUAAGUCUUUACGGAGAAAGCUUUAUGCACCAUUGGAUGAGCCUGCACUUGAUUAGUUUGUUGGUGGGGUAAUGGCCUACCAAGACUGUGAUCAAUAGCUGAUUUGAGAGGAUGAUCAGCCACAUUGGGACUGAGACACGGCCCAAACUCCUACGGGAGGCAGCAGUGGGGAAUCUUGCACAAUGGAGGAAACUCUGAUGCAGCGAUGCCGCGUGAGUGAAGAAGGCCCUUGGGUUGUAAAGCUCUUUCGUCGGGGAAGAAAAUGACUGUACCCGAAUAAGAAGGUCCGGCUAACUUCGUGCCAGCAGCCGCGGUAAUACGAAGGGACCUAGCGUAGUUCGGAAUUACUGGGCUUAAAGAGUUCGUAGGUGGUUGAAAAAGUUAGUGGUGAAAUCCCAGAGCUUAACUCUGGAACUGCCAUUAAAACUUUUCAGCUAGAGUAUGAUAGAGGAAAGCAGAAUUUCUAGUGUAGAGGUGAAAUUCGUAGAUAUUAGAAAGAAUACCAAUUGCGAAGGCAGCUUUCUGGAUCAUUACUGACACUGAGGAACGAAAGCAUGGGUAGCGAAGAGGAUUAGAUACCCUCGUAGUCCAUGCCGUAAACGAUGUGUGUUAGACGUUGGAAAUUUAUUUUCAGUGUCGCAGCGAAAGCGAUAAACACACCGCCUGGGGAGUACGACCGCAAGGUUAAAACUCAAAUGAAUUGACGGGGACCCGCACAAGUAGUGGAGCAUGUGGUUUAAUUCGAAGAUACGCGCAGAACCUUACCAACACUUGACAUGUUCGUCGCGACUUUAAGAGAUUAGAGUUUUCGGUUCGGCCGGACGAAACACAGGUGCUGCAUGGCUGUCGUCAGCUCGUGUCGAGAGAUGUUGGGUUAAGUCCCGCAACGAGCGCAACCCUCACUUUUAGUUGCCAUCAUUAAGUUGGGCACUCUGAAAGAACUGCCAGUGAUAAGCUGGAGGAAGGUGGGGAUGACGUCAAGCCCUCAUGGCCCUUACGUGUUGGGCUACACACGUGCUACAAUGGUAUCUACAACAGGAAGCAAGACUGCGAAGUUAAGCAAAUCCCUAAAAGAUACCUCAGUUCGGAUUGCACUCUGCAACUCGAGUGCAUGAAGCUGGAAUUACUAGUAAUCGUGGAUCAGCGUGCCACGGUGAAUGCGUUCCCGGGUCUUGUACACACCGCCCGUCACACCAUGGGAGUUGGUUCUACCUUAAGGCAAGGUUUCAAACCCUUGACCACGGUAUAGUCAGCGACUGGGGUGAAGUCGUAACAAGGUAACC
rnacentral:rRNA from 1 species